rnacentral:rRNA from 1 species
AACGAACGCUGGCGGCGUGCUUAACACAUGCAAGUCGAGCGAGAAAGGGGGGGCAACUCCCCUGAGUAGAGCGGCGCACGGGUGAGUAACGCGUGGGUAACCUACCCCUCGGCGGGGGAUAACUACUCGAAAGGGUGGCUAAUACCGCAUGAGACCACGGGGUCUUCGGACCCUGAGGCCAAAGGUCGCAUCGGCUUGCCGAUGCAGUCACCGGGGGACGGGCCCGCGUCCGAUUAGCUAGUUGGCGAGGGAACGGCUGCCCAAGGCUACGAUCGGUAGCUGGUCUGAGAAGAUGAUCAGCCACACUGGAACUGGAACACGGUCCAGACUCCUACGGGAGGCAGCAGUGGGGAAUAUUGCGCAAUGGGGGAAACCCUGACGCAGCAACGCCGCGUGGGUGAAGAAGGCCUUCGGGUCGUAAAGCCCUUUCGGACGGGACGAACGCUCCGCGGUGACAACCCGCGGAGUCUGACGGUACCGUAAGAAGAAGCACCGGCUAACUCCGUGCCAGCCGCCGCAGUAACAC